rnacentral:rRNA from 1 species
GACGAACGCUGGCGGCGUGCUUAACACAUGCAAGUCGAACGGAAAGGCCCUGCUUGCAGGGUACUCGAGUGGCGAACGGGUGAGUAACACGUGGGUAAUCUGCCCUGCACUUCGGGAUAAGCCUGGGAAACUGGGUCUAAUACCGGAUAUGACCUUCCAUGUAGUGUGGGGGGUGGAAAGAUUUAUCGGUGUGGGAUGAGCCCGCGGCCUAUCAGCUUGUUGGUGGGGUAAUGGCCUACCAAGGCGUCGACGGGUAGCCGGCCUGAGAGGGUGGACGGCCACAUUGGGACUGAGAUACGGCCCAGACUCCUACGGGAGGCAGCAGUGGGGAAUAUUGCACAAUGGGCGGAAGCCUGAUGCAGCGACGCCGCGUGGGGGAUGACGGCCUUCGGGUUGUAAACCUCUUUCGACAGGGACGAAGCUUCGGUGACGGUACCUGUAUAAGAAGCACCGGCUAACUACGUG